rnacentral:rRNA from 1 species
UGAACGCUGGCGGUAGGCCUAACACAUGCAAGUCGACCGGCAGCACAGUAAGAGCUUGCUCUUACGGGUGGCGAGUGGCGGACGGGUGAGGAAUACAUCGGAAUCUACUUUUUCGUGGGGGAUAACGUAGGGAAACUUACGCUAAUACCGCAUACGACCUACGGGUGAAAGCAGGGGAUCUUCGGACCUUGCGCGAUUGAAUGAGCCGAUGUCGGAUUAGCUAGUUGGCGGGGUAAGGGCCCACCAAGGCGACGAUCCGUAGCUGGUCUGAGAGGAUGAUCAGCCACACUGGAACUGAGACACGGUCCAGACUCCUACGGGAGGCAGCAGUGGGGAAUAUUGGACAAUGGGCGCAAGCCUGAUCCAGCCAUACCGCGUGGGUGAAGAAGGCCUUCGGGUUGUAAAGCCCUUUUGUUGGGAAAGAAAAGCAGCAGGUUAAUACCCCGCUGUUCUGACGGUACCCAAAGAAUAAGCACCGGCUAACUUCGUG